rnacentral:rRNA from 1 species
UGCAGUCGAGCGGACCGACGGGAGCUUGCUCCCUUAGGUCAGCGGCGGACGGGUGAGUAACACGUGGGUAACCUGCCUGUAAGACUGGGAUAACUCCGGGAAACCGGGGCUAAUACCGGAUGCUUGAUUGAACCGCAUGGUUCAAUCAUAAAAGGUGGCUUUUAGCUACCACUUACAGAUGGACCCGCGGCGCAAUAGCUAGUUGGUGAGGUAACGGCUCACCAAGGCGACGAUGCGUAGCCCACCUGAGAGGGUGAUCGGCCACACUGGGACUGAGACACGGCCCAGACUCCUACGGGAGGCAGCAGUAGGGAAUCUUCCGCAAUGGACGAAAGUCUGACGGAGCAACGCCCCGUGAGUGAUGAAGGUUUUCGGAUCGUAAAACUCUGUUGUUAGGGAAGAACAAGUACCGUUCGAAUAGGGCGGUACCUUGACGGUACCUAACCAGAAAGCCACGGCUAACUACGUGC